UGUGUGACUGCGUACCUUUUGUAUAAUGGGUCAGCGACUUAUAUUCUGUAGCAAGGUUAACCGAAUAGGGGAGCCGAAGGGAAACCGAGUCUUAACUGGGCGUUAAGUUGCAGGGUAUAGACCCGAAACCCGGUGAUCUAGCCAUGGGCAGGUUGAAGGUUGGGUAACACUAACUGGAGGACCGAACCGACUAAUGUUGAAAAAUUAGCGGAUGACUUGUGGCUGGGGGUGAAAGGCCAAUCAAACCGGGAGAUAGCUGGUUCUCCCCGAAAGCUAUUUAGGUAGCGCCUCGUGAAUUCAUCUCCGGGGGUAGAGCACUGUUUCGGCAAGGGGGUCAUCCCGACUUACCAACCCGAUGCAAACUGCGAAUACCGGAGAAUGUUAUCACGGGAGACACACGGCGGGUGCUAACGUCCGUCGUGAAGAGGGAAACAACCCAGACCGCCAGCUAAGGUCCCAAAGUCAUGGUUAAGUGGGAAACGAUGUGGGAAGGCCCAGACAGCCAGGAUGUUGGCUUAGAAGCAGCCAUCAUUUAAAGAAAGCGUAAUAGCUCACUGGUCGAGUCGGCCUGCGCGGAAGAUGUAACGGGGCUAAACCAUGCACCGAAGCUGCGGCAGCGACACUGUGUGUUGUUGGGUAGGGGAGCGUUCUGUAAGCCUGUGAAGGUGUGCUGUGAGGCAUGCUGGAGGUAUCAGAAGUGCGAAUGCUGACAUAAGUAACGAUAAAGCGGGUGAAAAGCCCGCUCGCCGGAAGACCAAGGGUUCCUGUCCAACGUUAAUCGGGGCAGGGUGAGUCGACCCCUAAGGCGAGGCCGAAAGGCGUAGUCGAUGGGAAACAGGUUAAUAUUCCUGUACUUGGUGUUACUGCGAAGGGGGGACGGAGAAGGCUAUGUUGGCCGGGCGACGGUUGUCCCGGUUUAAGCGUGUAGGCUGGUUUUCCAGGCAAAUCCGGAAAAUCAAGGCUGAGGCGUGAUGACGAGGCACUACGGUGCUGAAGCAACAAAUGCCCUGCUUCCAGGAAAAGCCUCUAAGCAUCAGGUAACAUCAAAUCGUACCCCAAACCGACACAGGUGGUCAGGUAGAGAAUACCAAGGCGCUUGAGAGAACUCGGGUGAAGGAACUAGGCAAAAUGGUGCCGUAACUUCGGGAGAAGGCACGCUGAUAUGUAGGUGAAGUCCCUCGCGGAUGGAGCUGAAAUCAGUCGAAGAUACCAGCUGGCUGCAACUGUUUAUUAAAAACACAGCACUGUGCAAACACGAAAGUGGACGUAUACGGUGUGACGCCUGCCCGGUGCCGGAAGGUUAAUUGAUGGGGUCAGCGCAAGCGAAGCUCUUGAUCGAAGCCCCGGUAAACGGCGGCCGUAACUAUAACGGUCCUAAGGUAGCGAAAUUCCUUGUCGGGUAAGUUCCGACCUGCACGAAUGGCGUAAUGAUGGCCAGGCUGUCUCCACCCGAGACUCAGUGAAAUUGAACUCGCUGUGAAGAUGCAGUGUACCCGCGGCAAGACGGAAAGACCCCGUGAACCUUUACUAUAGCUUGACACUGAACAUUGAGCCUUGAUGUGUAGGAUAGGUGGGAGGCUUUGAAGUGUGGACGCCAGUCUGCAUGGAGCCGACCUUGAAAUACCACCCUUUAAUGUUUGAUGUUCUAACGUGGACCCGUGAUCCGGGUUGCGGACAGUGUCUGGUGGGUAGUUUGACUGGGGCGGUCUCCUCCUAAAGAGUAACGGAGGAGCACGAAGGUUGGCUAAUCCUGGUCGGACAUCAGGAGGUUAGUGCAAUGGCAUAAGCCAGCUUGACUGCGAGCGUGACGGCGCGAGCAGGUGCGAAAGCAGGUCAUAGUGAUCCGGUGGUUCUGAAUGGAAGGGCCAUCGCUCAACGGAUAAAAGGUACUCCGGGGAUAACAGGCUGAUACCGCCCAAGAGUUCAUAUCGACGGCGGUGUUUGGCACCUCGAUGUCGGCUCAUCACAUCCUGGGGCUGAAGUAGGUCCCAAGGGUAUGGCUGUUCGCCAUUUAAAGUGGUACGCGAGCUGGGUUUAGAACGUCGUGAGACAGUUCGGUCCCUAUCUGCCGUGGGCGCUGGAGAACUGAGGGGGGCUGCUCCUAGUACGAGAGGACCGGAGUGGACGCAUCACUGGUGUUCGGGUUGUCAUGCCAAUGGCACUGCCCGGUAGCUAAAUGCGGAAGAGAUAAGUGCUGAAAGCAUCUAAGCACGAAACUUGCCCCGAGAUGAGUUCUCCCUGACCCUUUAAGGGUCCUGAAGGAACGUUGAAGACGACGACGUUGAUAGGCCGGGUGUGUAAGCGCAGCGAUGCGUUGAGCUAACCGGUACUAAUGAACCGUGAGGCUUAACCUU
rnacentral:rRNA from 1 species